AUUGAACGCUGGCGGCAUGCCUUACACAUGCAAGUCGAACGGUAACGCGGGGCAACCUGGCGACGAGUGGCGAACGGGUGAGUAACGCAUCGGAACGUGCCCAGUAGUGGGGGAUAGCCCGGCGAAAGCCGGAUUAAUACCGCAUACGACCUACGGGUGAAAGGGGGGGAUCGCAAGACCUCUCGCUAUUGGAGCGGCCGAUGUCAGAUUAGGUAGUUGGUGGGGUAUAGGCCUACCAAGCCGACGAUCUGUAGCUGGUCUGAGAGGACGACCGGCCACACUGGGACUGAGACACGGCCCAGACUCCUACGGGAGGCAGCAGUGGGGAAUUUUGGACAAUGGGCGCAAGCCUGAUCCAGCCAUGCCGCGUGCGGGAAGAAGGCCUUCGGGUUGUAAACCGCUUUUGUCAGGGAAGAAACGCGCUGAGUUAAUACCUCGGCGUAAUGACGGUACCUGAAGAAUAAGCACCGGCUAACUACGUGCCAGCCGCCGCCGUAAUAC
rnacentral:rRNA from 1 species